rnacentral:rRNA from 1 species
AACGAACGCUGGCGGCAUGCCUAACACAUGCAAGUCGAACGAGACCUUCGGGUCUAGUGGCGCUCGGGUGCGUAACGCGUGGGAACCUGCACUUAGGUUCGGAAUAACUCCCCGAAAGGGGUGCUAAUACCGGAUAAUGUCUUCGGACACAAGAUUUAUCGCCUUUGGAUGGGCCCGGGUUGGUUUAGCCAGUUGGUAGGGUAAAAGCCUACCAAGGCAAGGAUCCUUAGCUGGUCUGAGAGGAUGAGCAGCCACACUGGGACUGAGACACGGCCCAGACUCCUACGGGAGGGAGCAGUGGGGAAUAUAGGACAAUGGGCGAAAGCCUGAUCCAGCAAUGCCGCGUGAGUGAUGAAGUCCGUAGGGUUGUAAAGCUCUUUUACCCGGGGUGAUAAUGACAGUACCGGGAGAAUAAGCUCCGGCUAACUCCGUG